ACCAAGCCUAUGACGGGUAGCGGGUGUGAGAGCAUGACCCGCCGCAUCGGAACUGAGACACUGUCCGGACUCCUACGGGAGGCUGCAGUAACGAAUCUUCCGCAAUGCACGCAAGUGUGACGGAGCAAUGCCGCGUGCGGGACGAAGCGGCUCCGCCGUGUAAACCGCUGUCAGGCUCUAGAAAGAACUGAUCGGAGCCAGAGGAAGGGCCGGCUAAUCUCGUGCCAGCAGCCGCGGUAAGACGAGAGGCCCGAGCGUUGAGCGGAAUCACUGGGCUUAAAGGGUGCGUAGGCGGAGUGGCAGGUGUCUUGUGAAAGCCCACGGCUCAACCGUGGAAUUGCAGGGCAAACCACCAUUCUUGAGGUCGGUAGAGGAUGUCGGAACGUUGGGUGGAGCGGUGAAAUGCGUAGAGAUCCAACGGAACGCCAAUGGUGAAGACAGGCAUCUGGGCCGAACCUGACGCUGAGGCACGAAAGCGUGGGGAGCAAACAGGAUUAGAUACCCUGGUAGUCCACGCCGUAAACGAUGUGCACUGGGUCGAUGCCGCUCUGACGCGGUGUCGGCCGUAGAGAAAUUAUUAAGUGCACCGCCUGGGGAGUACGGUCGCAAGGCUAAAACUCAAAGGAAUUGACGGGGGCUCACACAAGCGGUGGAGCAUGUUGCUUAAUUCGAAGCAACGCGAAAAACCUUACCUGGGCUUGACAUGUAUGGAUUAGGUUGUGGAAACAUAAUUGACGCGGCUUGCCGUGGAACAUACACAGGUGCUGCAUGGCUGUCGUCAGCUCGUGCUGUGAAGUGUCGGGUUAAGUCCCUUAACGAGCGCAACCCUUGUCGCUAGUUGCCAGCGAGUCAUGUCGGGGACUCUAGCGAGACUGCCGGUGUCAAACCGGAGGAAGGUGGGGACGACGUCAAGUCAUCAUGGCCCUUACGUCCAGGGAUGCAAACGUGCUACAAUGGCGUGUACAGAGCGAUGCGAGGCCGCGAGGCGGAGCAAAUCGCAAAAAGCACGCCCCAGUUCGGAUUGCAGUCUGCAACUCGACUGCAUGAAGCCGGAAUCGCUAGUAAUCGCGGAUCAGCAUGCCGCGGUGAUACGUUCCUGAGCACUUGUACACACCGCCCGUCAA
rnacentral:rRNA from 1 species